CCUACGGGAGGCAGCAGUGAGGAAUAUUGGUCAAUGGACGAGAGUCUGAACCAGCCAAGUCGCGUGAAGGAUGACUGCCCUAUGGGUUGUAAACUUCUUUUAUAUGGGAAUAAAAUGUUCCACGUGUGGGAUUUUGUAUGUACCAUAUGAAUAAGGAUCGGCUAACUCCGUGCCAGCAGCCGCGGUAAUACGGAGGAUCCGAGCGUUAUCCGGAUUUAUUGGGUUUAAAGGGAGCGUAGGUUGAUUGUUAAGUCAGUUGUGAAAGUUUGCGGCUCAACCGUAAAAUUGCAGUUGAAACUGGCAGUCUUGAGUACAGUAGAGGUGGGCGGAAUGCGUGGUGUAGCGGUGAAAUGCUUAGAUAUCACGAAGAACUCCGAUUGCGAAGGCAGCUCACUGGACUGCAACUGACACUGAGGCUCGAAAGUGUGGGGAUCAAACAGGAUUAGAUACCCCAGUAGUC
rnacentral:rRNA from 1 species